AACACAGAGAAGAGGAAGGGAAAAAAUAGAAGGCAAGAAAGAUACCCAUUAAGAGAGGAAGAAUCAACAAUCACCUUGAAAAUGUCCUUGCCUUUCUUCAAAUCCCUACUGUUAGUGUUUGUGGUGUCUUUCUUUUCCACACUGUCCUGAACUUUCUCUCAUUGAGAUUCACGUAACUUUUUCUAGAGCUGAAACAUUUUUAUAAGAAUUGUUGGUCAGUCUAGAAGAGCAUUACUCAAGGUUAUCGUUCUUGGCGAUAGCGGGGUGGGAAAGACUUCUUUGAUGAAUCAGUAUCCAUUACAAGGUGGUAAUUAUAAUUUUUCAAUUUCUUUUUCAAUGAUUAUGAGAAACUCCAUUUAGUUUUCUAUUUUUCGUUCUUGUCAUAUCUACCUUAAGCACAUGUCUGGCAAGAAAAACACCAUAGUAGUGCACCUUGGUAUGCAAUGCCAUGUUUUGCUCACAAGGGAUGAGUUGUAAUGUAGUGCCAGGGACAAAAAUACUGAAACAUUACUGGUUUUGCUAAGCAAACCGUGGUGCUUUCCAUUUGUGUUCUUUCUGCCUGCAGACGCAUUUUGUUGGGCUGUUAACAGCUUUUCAGAUAUGUAUAUAACAAGUAUAGUCAGCAGUCUAAAGCUACAAUUGGUGCUGAUUUUGUCACGAAGGAACUGCAGAUUGAUGACAAGCUGGUCACUUUGCAAAUAUGGAACACAGCAGGGCAGGAGAGGUUUCAGAGUUUAGGCCCGGCAUUUUACAGAGGGGCAGAUUGCUGUGUUCUUGAAUAUGAUGUAAAUGUACAGAAAUCAUUUGAAACACUUAACAAUUGGCAUGAAGAAUUUCUCAAACAGGUUUCAGAGAAAAAAGCCAGAGAAUGGUGUGCUUCCAUGGGAGGUAUACCAUGCUUUGAGACCUCAGCAAAAGAGGAUUGCAACAUUGAUGAAGCUUUUCUUUGUGAUGCAAAAACUGCACUAGAAGAAGAACAUGAACACGAACAUGACAUGGAAGUACACCCGUGGACUCGUUAACUGUUAACAGCAAUUCCUGUUACCCUUUCUGUUAACUACUAAUUACAUCAACUUUAACAGAGAAGUUUUUGUGCAGACUUUUUCAAGACAUGUGAAUGAUCACAGAAUCCUUUACUGCAGUGCCUCACCUAUAAACAAACUUCCAUAAAUUUGAGAAAUCUUCAAUAAUGUGCGUUCCAAAAGAUUCAAUCAAACUCGCGGUUUGUGAGUCACAAUCGCAUCUAUAGAUCACGUUCUUGAACUUUUUAUAUUUGAUUAAUUGGGGCAAAUCCAAUAGUUUUCUUCCCUCAGGAUUUGUCACCUUCCAUCUCCUUCAUUGCUAAAUUUCAGCUAGUGAUGAUAAUUUGCAUUAUAACUUUGCAGUUACUUCCAGGGUAUAUCAGAAACUGUUUCAGAAGCUGAGCAAAGAGGAGGUUGUGCAUGUUGAAGUUGGCUGCCAAAGGAUUAAACCUCUGAAAAUUCAACUUUCUGAUUUGUUCGAUUCUCUUAUAAUUUCUUUGUUAAGAUGCUCUUCGUUAGAGAUUGAGAGGUGUUUUCAAUGCUUGUAUCUUAUUUGUGUGUGAAAAAAAUAAAAGAUAAAUAAAACAAAA